CAGCUUGUGUAUUCAUGAGUACAUAUAAUUAAUGAUAUACAGGUUCUUUUAUUGCGUUGGUGUUAAUGGAUAAACUAGGACGAAAGGCCCUUCUCCUCUGGAGCUUCUUUGGCAUGGCUGUAUCAACAGUUAUUCAAGUUCUCGCAUCAUCUUUGCCAGCUUCAGGUCCUCUUGGUUUUUAUCUAUCUACGAGUGGAAUGCUGCUGUAAGUUUUUUAUUUUUUUAUUUUGGGUUUCCAAUGCUUUAUAUUGAUUUCAUGUAUUGACCAAUUUGGCUAAGCAAUGAAAUUGGCAAGUAAUCGUCAGAAAAGGGUGUUUUUAUCCCAUGGAAGAUGAAGCCACAAAGCUUCAAUUAAUUUCAAAUUUGUUAAAGUUGCAAAUUAAGUUCAAUUGAGUCCCUGUUACUUUCAAUUUCACCCUCUUAUGAUAUUUUGAGGUGAAAAGACGAAAAAACCCUUGUACUUUCGCAUGUGCAUCGCGCGUGCGUUG